AGGAGAAGAAAACUACAACAUCUGGAGCUUUAUCAUAGAGUAGGUCCUGAGGAGGAAGGGCCUGUGGCAUUACGUCAAAGAAGAACCACCUCCUGCCGAAAGGCAAUCAUCGGAAGAGAAGAGCAACCGACAAAAUACUCUGCAUGAAAGAGUUUCUUCGAAGCAUCAAAGACCUGGUUGACAAGCUUACACAAGCCGAAGUGGACUGGACCGAUUGCGUAGUAACCCUAGUUCUCAACGCACAACCACAGCAAUACUCUAGCAACCAAUUCUUGCACGGAUUCCAAUGACGACCUCAACCUCUCUAUCAUCCUUGUACUCAAUUGUCAUUCCCAUCCACUCAAUGGUGAAUCGACCCAAGUCAUAGGAUUAUGGUAAUCUGGACAGCAAAAAUUGACUAAUUUUAAUCGCCAUCGAUCGGGUGACAACUGCCAUCACUAAGGCGCCCACAACCAUUGGACAGGAGAAUGUCCGAUCUACAAAACUAAACUAGGUUUAUAUGGAGCAGCCACCAGGGUUUUUACAAACUCUACAAAGCUUUAAGUAAAUAUGUAUGUCCGGAACAUUAUUCCUUCUUUUAGGAACAAGUUCUACAAAGAGCUGUGAUCACAUAUUCAUGGAGUCUAAGAUAUUACAAAUUGUACUGCAAUGAAGGAUAGAAAAUAGAAUGCAAACUCCA